rnacentral:tRNA from 1 species
UGGUGUGUAGCUCAGUGGUAGAGCAGUUUCCUACCGUGCUCCAGGCCCUGGGUUCGAUCCCCAGCACCAA